UCUAACGAUUCUUGAUAUUUCAUUUUAAUUAUUAAUUUUAUAUUAUUAGAGAAUUAUAGAUAAUAAUAAAUAGAUAGAGAUAAAUAUUGUUUCUUUAGAAUAUUUAUAAGACAGAUUCAAAUUUAUUACAUAAAUUCACUUAUUAUUUGAUUUAUUGUACUUUCGUAUUUAUUUAUUAUUGCAGGGUUGAAGAAUAAGGUUGAGAACAUCUUUUCCACUGUUGCCGCAGUGGAAGUUUCACUAAAAAUACAAAUCUACUAGUUCUCCCACCAUUAAAGAUCAUUUUAGAUUCGUAUGUGCCAACAGUCAGCCACGAGGCUUCAUCGUCCUCACAUUUACAGGAAAUUUAUCUUCAUACAUGAAUUUAUGAAAGAUUGUACUACGGGAUAGGACUAGAUCAUUUUUGUUGCAAAGUAAUAAGAUACCUGCUUUGGAGAACACUCAUAAUAUCGAAACGCAAGUAAUAUUAUUUUCUUAUUAAUCAUUUAAUGAACAUUUAACUUUAUUUUACUUUAAAUUAAUAAAUAAUUAUCGUAAUUAUUAAUAAAUCAUAAUUAUUAAUCGUGUUAUGUACUUUUACUAUAAAAUAAUUAGCGCAAAAUAAUUAAUAUUUUGUUGAUCAGAGUUAGACAAUUAGCAAUUUGCGAACUGCAUGUGGUUUAUUCUACACUUGCCUGUUCUGUUAAGAUGGAAGAAUACAACUUCCAUUAUUGGACUUUACUAUGCCUCAUGAGAUGCUUUUGUUUUUAAUAAAGAGCAUGGAGUUGUGAUUAAUAAAUUUAUAUAGUGAAGGAACAGAUUGAUUGACAUGGUGUUGAAUGUGCAGCUAUUCGAAGAGAAAAGUUGCCCAGUAGGUACAAAUUUGUUGUGUUCUGUUAAGAUGGAAGAAUACAACUUCCAUUAUUGGACUUUACUAUGCCUCAUGAGAUGCUUUUGUUUUUAAUAAAGAGCAUGGAGUUGUGAUUAAUAAAUUUAUAUAGUGAAGGAACAGAUUGAUUGACAUGGUGUUGAAUGUGCAGCUAUUCGAAGAGAAAAGUUGCCCAGUAGGUACAAAUUUGUUGUAGCUUCAUAGAUUGUACUUACGUGUAAAACAUCCAAUUGAUAUUCACGAAUUAUAUUCAUGAUCCGUCUCUUAAUUAAUAAAUAAUUAUACGUAUUAGAGUCAGUAUAUCAUGAAAGAUAAUCAAGAACAUAGCACAUUUCUUCUAUAGGAGAACAAUAAUCAUCAUUGCAUUUUCAAGUGAAUUUACCAAGUCAAUUUAUUACAACUUCAAUCUAUUUCAUUUUCAAUUUACUUUGACGUAAAACUACCUUAUUUUUCACUUAUUACGAAUCAAUCUACCCUAAUUUUAGUCUACAAUACGGGUGAGUGUUUUGGAGCCAUCAUGGAAUUUCUUAAUUAAGUAAGUGAACAAAAUUAUGUUUCUUCAAUUCUUAUCAUGUUAAGAAUGAAAAAUCCAAAUCAGCACUUACUGAUUUUAAUUUUUUCAAUCAAUUAUUGACGAACACAACUAUUAAUAAUUCCUUUUUUAGAUUUAUUCAUAAAUAGUACAUUUUUAACUAUUUUCAUUUUUUUCUUGAUAUGUGUGUUUAUUUUUAUUAACACAGAGUAAAUAUUUGGAUCAUCGAUUAGAGCCGUUUAAUUAACGGCGCAAUUAACUUUUCUUUUGUCUCUUUUAUGUUUGCUCACGACAUUAGUUGUGAAAUCCGCGAUUCAUUUAUUUGAUAUCGUUCGAUAUUUUGAUAUCAAAAUACCAAAAAAUGAACAAGAAGACGACAGUGAUGUAUAGAUUCGGGAACUUUAUGAUUCGGCGAAUCAUGACUUUGUUCUCUUACCACGUGUACAAACUCGUUCGAUUAUUUUCAUAUAAAAUUUUAAUGAAAUAGUCAAUCAAUUUUGUUGAUAAAGGAAGAGUUUCAACAGAGUCCCUGCUUUUUAAAGAAAAAAGUCGAAUUAGAAUCAUUGCUAAAGAACAAAGACUUUUGUAUAGUUAUAGUUCGUAAGAUUGAGACUAUAAAUAAUGAUCAUUGCGUACUAUGACUAUUUGGAUCUUUCACUGCAUACUGUUGUGUGAACUAAUCGAGUUCCUAUUCUUUUAAUGUGAACUCUGUAAAAAAUUAUUCUCUCUUCGUUGGAGUAUGAUAUUUCUAGAUUUCAUUAUACAUUUGAUUUUUGUUCUCUGAAAACUAUUACUAAAUAUUCCAAUAGAUUUUCAAAUCCUUAGUUGUAUUGAUAAUGUCAUAUACAUUUCCAAUAAUUUUUCUUUUUAAUCGUUUUACAAGUGUUAUUUCGGCACCCGUGAAAAUUAUUGUUCUAACUGAAUUAUAUCGCCAUAUAAAGUCCCUAAGAGUGAAAAUGUUCAUACCAUCGUAUAACAGAAUCAGAAUAAUAGCAAUUUUUUACAAUGCUAGAUCUUGUUCUGUCAUUUUAUCAUGAAUAUGUAAUUUAGGAAAAUAUUAAACAUGAGUAGUGAAAAAAAUAAAUAUACGUAAGAGAAAGACUGUACGGAUAAUUGCACAGACGUAAAUUUACUUUUACGUAAAUUAAAAUUAUUCUAAGUGCGGUUCCGUUCGUGAUUAUAAUCGCAAGAAUUCUCGCAGGAACUCUUGCGGUUAUAGGUGUAAGUGUUACUGCUACAAUUUCUACGGAUUCAGAAUACACCACAAUAGAAUCUAAUGUUUUAUACGUAGCUGUUAAAGAUGAUUCCAAUGCGGCUUUAUCACUCUCCUCGACACACAGCAUAAAUGCCGUGAUUCUUAAGGUUAUCAUCACUUCUAGUUUUAUAAUGAUUUACGCUAAGAAUAAAUUGAGUUGUAAUCCUCGAUUCAUUUUUAUGAACAAGGUCUCAUGUUAUUUAACUCAGAUUUAACACGUUGAACUGAGGUUGAUCGGAGCAAUCUGAAUAAAAUAUUGUUGUCCUCUUUACAUUUUUUUCUGCCUUUGAUCAAUCCACAGAGCGUCUUUUAUUUCUACUUACGUGUACGUCUAAUACUUACUUUAGAAGCAUUUUUUCUAAUUGCAAUAUUGUGCUGCUUAGGUGUAAAAGAAGGUUGUAUUAUGUUUGUAGAAAUCUGUAAUAUAUCUUAAACUAGCAGUUUCUUAAAUUGUCUUGUUUUUAUGUUCUUUUUUAUUGCUUGUAAAUCACUGUAAUUCCAAGGAGAAAUUGUAUACUAAGUUUUCGGUACUAUUUUACCUCUUUUCUGAUUGUUAUUAUUAAUUGAUCCGAGCGAUCUAUUCCACACUUAUAUGCGAAAAUUCCUACUGCAUUUAAUUUUCUGGAUAGUUGUUAGCUAGUAGAAAGUUCAUCGAUAUUAAGUCUAUUUUUGUACUUGGCACCAUAAUGGGAACGUACUUCGUAGAUAGAAUUCUUACGUCCCGAGAAUCUCUUUGAAUAUCAUUUCUCUUUUUUCUAAAUUUAUGCUGAAAAAUGUCCUCGAAUGCAUUUCUUAUUACUUUUAAUUGCUUCAACUAUAUGAGUCUUCUAUUUUAGACACGAUAUAAUCUAUUCAUAGUUAGUGUACAAAUUAUCAAUGUAUAAUGUUCAUCUCUAGAUGAAAAGCUUUUUUGUAAGUUGCAGACAUAUAUUAUAUGCCAGUUCAGUUUCUCUGAUAUCACUAACUGACUUUCCACUGUAGAUCCUCAUUGAUCAUGUAUAUUCUUUAGAAGAGCAUAAUUUAAAUAAUUUUAUUACGUAUUUAUGGGUUUUGUUUGGAAUAUAUUGCUUAUGGAAUAUCAAUUUUCCACACCAAGAAAUUAAUAUUUCGUCAAUGACGAUAUUUUUUCCUAUUAUAAAUCUUUUUAUACUUCUUUGUUUUUUGUUUCUGAAAAGUAUAAUAUUUCGAAUCUGUUCCAUAACAUAUACAAUGAGCUUUUUGAAAAAUAAUCGUUUAUAGGAUUAUUUAUUAUUAUUCUUACUAUAGGAUUAUUAUUAUUAUUCUUACAAAACCCAUCCAUAAAAUUGAUCCUAAAAAUUUAAAUAUAUCAAAUUUCUAUUUCUAAUACAUUCUACAUAUGGAUUAGUUGGUGUUCAUUAAUACAUCCGUGCCAAUAUAGUUAGUGUGGGUUUACUUAACUCUUGUUUUCUAUGUCUGUUUAUUUUUUUUUGCAAGCAAAUCUAUCAAUUCGUUAUUAAUAAAUAAAGAUGAUGUUGCAGUAAAUGAAAAUGAUUUCUGAUGUCCAUAAAGUUCAGUCCAUUUAAUGCACUUAAUUGUAGUUUUCUCGGCAUUAUCAUCUUUGAUAUCUUUCUUAGUUAUUAAUUUUUGCUAAGUCUGUUCAAUAGCAUUUGUAACAAAGUCACUAUCACAACUACUGCAUUUAUCAACGUCUGAAUCAGAAUCCGAUGAUAAAAUUCUAUUUAUAUUUUUCUUUUUAAAAAAUCUAAAUUGUUCCUCCUUACUACUACACAAAUUUUUCUAAAAUUUAUGUUUCUUCUUCAUUACUAAAUAAUUGAUGAAAUGAUAUUUCUUCUUUCUGCCAUUUUAAACAACUAAAGUAAAGUUUAACUUUUUUAUCGACUACAGACUUUCAACAAAGAACAUACUAUUUUUUAGAUACUUUUUUUCGACUACAGACUUUCAACAGAAACGUUGUGUCGUAUUUAGAUACAAAUGUUGAGAUGUUCAUGUUUAGUUAGUUGUCCUGACUAUUUCUGGUUGAGGAAUAGUGAUGCUAUCGAGACUCGGUUUUUAUUCGAAAUAUGUCGAUCGAAUGAAUGAUUUCUAUCGAAUCAUCUAUGAAGACAUUAUUAAAAUUAGGAAAGAAAAUAAGAAGAAGAGAAGUUUAAGUAAAAAAGUAUAUGAAAAGGGAAGUAAUGAUAUCCAUUGGUUGGCCUAUCAAGAUAGAUUGUUCAAAAUGAUGAAAUAAUCUCAAGUAUGAUUCUUUGUUUUCGUAACCAUACUGAUACCUUAAUACUGAAUUGAUAUCUUAAAGGUAGGUUCCAGAUAACCACGGCUUGUUUCGUUUAAGAAUCUAAUUUCACUGUUCAUUUAUUGUCAGACUCGACACAUUAUCGAAAUUGUGUACUAACAAUGCCUAAAUUCGAACGAUGCUGGCAAAUCGUGGGAAACGUAAGAAAUAUGCUUCUUUUUAUCUAAGCAUUUUCUUAGAGAGUAUCUAACGAUAUCCCAAUUUUUAAGAAUAUUUACCCUUGAGAUGUUUAUCUAUUAUAUGAUCCUUCGUAGGUUCAUAUAAUACAACUUGAAGAUGUGCAUGCAACAAAUUGCUUCAAUAAGAAGAAAUAGACAUGACCAUGAUAUUGAUUAUUACUACCUUCUCUCAUUGAAAGAAACAAGAACCUAUUCGCAGAGAAGGCGAUAUCUAUAGAAUGAGAUCUCACUCUUGAAAACACCUUUUGUGUAACGGCGUUCGUGGCCUGACUGAGAUAUUUAUUUCAAUUUGCCUGGCAAUCAAUCUCUUAAGUGAGGAUUUCGCUUCUUCGAAUUUUUUAAAAAGUUUUAUUUUCUUUGAAAAAAAAAAUCGUGUCAAAGAAUGAUGUUUUUCUGAGAACGGAAUUCAUGCAUAAAAUAUAACUUUUUCAAAAAUUCGAAAAAGUGCGAUCCUCCCUUAAAUUUUCAACCAUUUUAUCUGAUUAUUAUGUUACCGUGAGAAGUAACAUACUAUAUAAGUUUUUACAUCGAUAUGGUAGGUGCAUGAUGGAAACAUCGUUCGCCACUUUUUGCGCUUGUUUUCAUAUUUUAUCUAUAUUUGGCUUUGGUACCUAUUACAUUCGUCGAGAAUGACGCGAACAGUCUGAAAAUAAUACACAUUGUAAACAACGUAUUUUCAUUUAUUUAUAAAAAUAUUAUAGGUACUUUAAAAAAUAAAUAAAUAAUAAUUUUAUGAUGCACAAGUAUUAAAAGAGUUGUCUACUACGAAGCAGAUGAUUCAUAUAUUGUGGUAUGUUUUCAGUAUAAUAUUACUGGAAAAAAUAUUUUAGUAUUAUUAUAAACUCCCCGUUGAAUGUCUACGAUUAACAAAUACAGCUACAUAUGGUUCCGAGCGAGCUUGGAGCUUAUUGGCCAUUAUUAUAUAUCAAAACGAUUUUAAUAACAAACAUUGAACAUUUUUUUGUUUUAAACUUAAGAUAGUUGGUUUGAAAGAACGUGGCUCGUCAAUGUUCCAUAUUAUAUAAAUUUUUGAAGAGAUUAGGUUGCAGAAAAAGAUAAAAUUUUUGAUGGAGUCAAGGGAAUAUUCGAGAACUAUUUCUAAUGAUAACGAAUAUUGCGGAUAAUUGCAUCUUAGGACGAGACAUUUUGUCAAAGAUGGAUUUGAUAGACGUGGCAAGUUAUAUUAUGAAGCUCAGGUUCGAUAGUGAGGAUUGUAUGAAAAUUAAUUAAUAGUUUGAAUGACAUAUUUCAAGAAAACUAUAGGAAUUUCUUGAUGAGCAAGAAAAGGAUUUUUCAAAAUUCUUUUAAGGUUUUUUAGAAGAGUUUACAGGAAAUUCUGGAAUCGUUGAAUGUAUCAUAAACUGAUCUCUUAUAAAACGAGUUCCUCGGAGGAUUCUCUAUUUGAAAGGAGGAAGGAGAAAUUGCCGAUAGAUCAUGGAUUAGAUUUAGAAGUUGUUAAGAAUCCAAAAAAUUAGGACGACAGCGUUACAUUCCCAAUCAAGUGAAAGCAAGCACAAGACGAUAAUUGAUCAAAAUUCGUUAGGACUAGAGAGCUUGGGUUCACUGGAUUCUAUUGUUUUUGUUAGUUUAUAGAUCCAGAGGUAUAAGAUAACCAGUUUAUGACCAGCAAAAAUACUAAGUAAUUUUUAAGCAAAAUGCUAAAAAAGACUUAAGAAUGCUGUUCAUUCGGAUGAGAAGAGGGAGAUACAUGUUAAUACUUACAAGAGACUUAGGACAAUGCUAAACGAAAUCCAUAUAACCGUGAGUGAAUGGAUGGAGAUGAAGGAUGAAUACCUGAUAUAAUUGUAAAGUGAAGAAGAAAAACUUAGAAGAGGCUCAGAAAAUAUGAUUGUUCAACUCUCACGUAGAAGUAGAGCGCAGAAACUCGAGAGAAAUUGGGGAAGUCUGUAUAAAAUUUUGAAAAAGAUCAACGAUGUAGUAUACUGCAUAGGAAAAUCUUCGAGAGAGAAAGAGAAAAUUAUUCUAUUUAGUCUAAUACUAUUUAUAGAGAGAUCGAUCAAAAAAGGAAUUAGACAAAAUGGUAGGGAUAAAUCUACGAGUAAUUAACGCUUUUGUAUGAAUGGUUAAAUAUAGCGUCAAUGUAGGAUAACUGAAUAUGAAGGGAGAAUGACAAUUCCAUUCUCUGGCAUGGGAAGUGAGGAUCCGUAUCAAAAAGACAUAUGAUCUUCCUAAGAAUCUUAAUGGAUUUAUCAGAGAUGAGGAAUCCUAGAGCCGAAGGUUAACGACAUGGAAAAAUUAGGAGAAAUCCUCUGAGUGAAGACAUCAUUUGUCGAAACGAUAAUGAAGAGAAGGAAGCCAAUGUUAUGAGCCAGCCUAAAGGUGGUCCGGAGCGGAUAGACCGUUUUUAGAUACCAAAAAGGCUUUAACAGUAAACAUUGAUCAUUUUUCUAUUUUCGAGGGAAACUGUCUAAGAGAACGUUGCUAGUUAUUAAAAUUUGUGUAAUUUAGAUUUUUAAAGAGACUCUGGGUUGUAUAUUUGUAUAUAACGUUUAUGUUGUUACGCCGGAGAAUGUUUUGCAAUUCCAGGCUUAUAGUUUAACAUAUAUUAUACAGUGUAUAUCUUCUUUCCAUUCACAUUAUUCUAUUGAAAAUUAGCACUAUUUUCUUAAUGUCUUGAACGAUUUUUGACAAUCCCAAUUUCACUUAAAUACCAUUGCAUUUUCCAUUAAAUAAUACGAAGAUGUUAUAAUUACCUUGAAACCCUUUACAAAUUUUCAAUAAUAAGAGUACAAUUCCAGCAAGUUUCUACUUUGUUUCUUAUUUUACGGUAUAGACCGAUUCGCUGUAGUAUUAGUGUUCUCAUAAUCCGUAGACAGACCUUUACCUGAUAUAGCAUGUCUUUUUCAUACUAGUACCGCUGAAGAGAUCCAAGGCCUAAAAGAUUUUUCUAUCCCCUGUUUCCUCAUAUCCUUAAUAGUAAAGUGUCAAGUGGCAUUUCUUUUUUUGUAAUUCUUCAAUUAAGGAUAUAUUAGUAUAAUGUAUGUAUACGUAUGAUAUCCUUUUACUCGAUUCAAUAAUUGUUGCUACAGAUGUAGGAUAAUUCUAGUGCUUACCAAUAAAUCUGGAGAAAGAUUUUCGCAAAUGAUACUUUCAUAAUAUGGACUAUAUUAUACAGAUAUAAUGUUUCUGAAUCUGCUAAAAUAUAUAUUCGAAUACUCCUCUUGAUAGGUUUAUUAGAAUUGUAUGUAAUAAAACUUAUUUUUCCUUUAAAUUUUAUCACGCAAUAUUUUCCGCUCAAAUAUUUUUUCCAGGUCAGAAAUGUUCGGAAAAUCUUGAAUUUAUAUAUAAAAUUACUGGCUUGUUGAAUACAAAUUCUAAUAUCAUUUCUCACAAGAUUAGAUGUUUUUGAAAACUCUCACGUUAUCGACAAUUCUUGUUUUUCCGUUAAAAGGAAAACAAUUUAUUUUAGACACUGAUGUUUCUGGUCAUGGAAUAAGAAAAGUUCUAUAACAGAUACAAGAUAUUUCAGUAGGGUUUUCAAUAAGGACGAAAGAAAUUAUUUCAUUACCAGACGAGAAUUGCUCGCCGUAGUAAAUUCCGUCAAAAUAUUUCAUUACUAUUUACAUGGAACAAAAUUUAUAUUGUGAUUAUAUCAUGUGUCUCUUUGAUGGUUACUUUUUUAAAAAAUUUGGGUGGACAAUUGACUCAAUAACUUGAGCAGCUACGUCGUAAUGAUUUUGAAGUUGUGUAAAGAGAAGGCAAGUCGCAAAUGUGCAAAUGUGUUAUCCAGACGAUCAUAUUAGGAGACGCAAUGUAAUUAUUGUGUGAAGCAAGAAAUGAUGGAGGAACGGAAAAAUUUGAUAGAUUUCAGGAAUUAGAGCGAUCGGCAAUUAAUGUUAUUGUCAAAGCAAAAGAGAGAGGAAAAUGGCCAAAUUGAUAGGAGAUUUUAGCAAAAAGAUCAUCACUAAAGAUAUACUUGGCAUAAUUAAAUAAUUUAUUGAAAGAAGGAAAUAGGAGGAUCCAAGUAUAAAAUUUCAUAUUAUUCAAAUCGUUGUUUCUCAGGCGAAAUAUGAAUUGAAGAUAUUUUGUGAGAAAUGCAUGAUGGUUCCAUGGGAGGAUACUUCGGUGUACAAGGUUUGUCCAGAAAGUAUUCGAUUUUGUACUAUAGCAGAAGAAAGAAUUAAAUAUCCUCUUGAAAAUUCCCUUUAAAAGCUACAACGUACUUCCAAUGAUCCUCUCACUUUCAGAAACACUCUUUGUACUUAACUUUCGGAACAGCUAACAGCCGUUUCAUCGCGUUCUGUUUUACUUCCUUCAUGCCAUUGAAUCGUUUUCCCUUAAGAGUAUUUUUCAAUUCCCAGAAGUCGCAGGGAAUUAGAUCAGAACUGUAUAAGUGCUGACAAAGCUGCAUCUCAAAAAAAAUUGUCGAAUAAAUUGAUGAAUAGGCAAGUCUUAUCACGAUGCAGCAUCCAGUUGUCAUUUUUUCACAAAUUUGAUUGUUUUUUCUUAUCAUGUCACGCAAUUGUUCCAACAUUUUUUUGUAAUACUUUUUAUUCAUGUUAGAGCAUAUUCAUGGUGAAUAACUUCUUCCUAGUCCAAAAAAAAUAGUGAAUAUAAACUAUCAAAACAAAGGUCGCUUUCAACUAUUUUUAUAUCUCCUAAACCACUCUUUAAUUUGUGUAUCACUUAUGCAUUUACCUCACUCAUGUACUUUGCGAAUCAUGUGGAUGGUUUUUAAACACGAAUCGUCAAGUUUUUGGCAAAAUUUAAUGCACAUUAUUUCUUCGAUGCGUUCAAUCAUCAUGAAAUGCGAUGAGUACGAUAUUCAACAGCAUAUCGUUAUCAACCGAAGACUACCUGACAGAGGCUCUUAUCAAAAUUUCCCCUAAAUAAUGACCUAUUUUUAACAAUAGCAUAUCCAGGUACAAGAUUGAAGCAAAAGAUUGGAUACUUUCUAGACAAAUAUCGUAAAUAAAACUUCGCAGAGAAUUCGGAAAAGAUAUUAUUGGAAAGAUAUUAUCCUAUAAAUAGGAGAUAAAAGAUUAGUGCAAAACAUAUACAAUUUGCGUUGCCAGAAAAGAUCCAACAAGAAAAGGAAAGAGUGAGAUGCUGAUUUACAACGUAUACGGAAUGCCUUUUGAACGAAUGCAAAUGAGUAUUUUAGAUCUUUUUCCAAAAUCUUCAUGAGUAAAUAAAUUUUUUCUGGUAGUAAUAGACUAUUUCAGUAAAUGGUUAGAAGUAUUUCCCCUUAGGAAUUUUAUGACGAAAAUAGUAGUUGUAAUUUUUAAAACAGUAGUUGAUUAAUUCACUAUUAUAUUAUUGCUACAUGAGCAAAUUGUUUCUAUACACUGAGUACCUUGAGAAUUACAAACCGAUCAGAGUAGAAAUGUUGAAUCUAAGUUAUUUAAGGAAAUUAGUAAUCCGAUAAACUAAGAUAACAAUGUUAUAUUUGUAAUCAGACGGUCAAGUUGAACGUCAGCAUAGGACGAUAAUAAAUUACUUAACUCAAGAUCGAAACAAUUGGGAUCGAUGGAUCCCGUUAUGUUUGAGGAUCUAUAGAUCUGGAAAACAUAAGAAGACUGGAUUGUCUCCAGCGGAAAUGCUUAUUGCAAGAAAUUUAAUAAUAUCAUUGGAUCUUCUUCAGGGUUGUCCAUCUGAUAUGGAAAUCCUCUUUCUUAUAGUAUAUAUGUAUACCUUAUGCUUAUGGAUCGAUGUUUAAGAUAAAAUUAGAUGAAAUUCACAGAAUCGUGAGAGCAAAUGGAAAUUAAGUCCUGUAAAAUAAACGCCUAAUAUGAUCGAGAUGGAAAAUUUAAAAGUUCAAAAAGGUGUAGUUAUUUAAACUUAUUAUUAUGAGGGUUAUUAUAACCCUCAACGUAGGAAGGGAAAAGCA